rnacentral:rRNA from 1 species
GUGAGGAAUAUUGGUCAAUGGUCGCAAGACUGAACCAGCCAUGCCGCGUGCAGAAAGACGGUCCUAUGGAUUGUAAACUGCUUUUAUACAGGAAGAAACCCUCCCACGUGUGGGAGCUUGACGGUACUGUAGGAAUAAGGAUCGGCUAACUCCGUGCCAGCAGCCGCGGUAAUACGGAGGAUCCAAGCGUUAUCCGGAAUCAUUGGGUUUAAAGGGUGCGUAGGCUGGAAGGUCAGUCAGCGGUGAAAAGCUGUCGCUUAACGAUAGUCUUGCCGCAGAUACUUCCUUUCUUGGAUGAGGAGGAGGCCAGUGGAACGGAUGGUGUAGCGGUGAAAUGCAUAGAUAUCAUCCAGAACACCGAUUGCGAAGGCAGGUGGCUGUACCUUAAUCGACGCUGAUGCACGAAAGCAUGGGGAGCAAACAGGAUUAGAUACCCGAGUAGUCC